rfam:Salmo salar isolate Sally breed double haploid chromosome ssa16, whole genome shotgun sequence.
UCCCAUGUGGCUCAGUUGGUAGAGCAUGGUGUUUGCAACACCAGGGUUGUGGUUUUGAUUCCCACGGGGGAC